CAAUUAAAGCAGAUGCUGUGAACAAAAGUUUGAGCUAGAGCUCUAUAAUGUUUAGGUUGAUUGCUCAUUGCUCAAGUUUCAAGUACAAGGUAAAGAGGGAUGGGAUUUGAAGGUAACAUUUGUGUGCAUAGAUGGAACUAAUGUGGGUCACUACGCAGGUUGUGUGAGCCAAAUAACCCAGGUCCUACCAAAGAGGUGAACUCAAGUUAUAAUUGGCCACUUGCAAAGAGAAAAAGAAGAGAAUGAAGCUCUGGGAAGAGAAAAGUCACUUUCCACCAAAAUUCAUGUUCCCAUUCAUAGUACACACUCGGUCUUGGGAAAGGGAUGCCCAUUUAGGGAUUACAUUUUCUAGCCCCU
rnacentral:lncRNA from 1 species